rnacentral:tRNA from 1 species
GGCUCGGUAGCUCAGUCGGCAGGAGCAGAGGACUGGAAAAUCCGUGUCGGCGGUUCGAUUCCGUCCCGAGCCACCA